rnacentral:rRNA from 1 species
CGUAGGUGGCAAGCGUUGUCCGGAUUUACUGGGCGUAAAGGGCGUGCAGGCGGUUUGUUAAGUCUAGGGUGAAAGCUCCCGGCUCAACUGGGAGAGGGUCCUUGGAUACUGGUGAACUUGAGGGAUGCAGAGGAAAGUGGAAUUCCCGGUGUAGUGGUGGUAUGCGUAGAUAUCGGGAGGAACACCAGUGGCGAAGGCGGCUUUCUGGGCAUUUCCUGACGCUGAGACGCGAAAGCGUGGGGAGCGAACCGGAUUAGAUACCCGGGUAGUCCACGCCGUAAACGAUGGACACUAGGUGUAGGGGGUAUCGACCCCCUCUGUGCCGUAGCUAACGCAAUAAGUGUCCCGCCUGGGGAGUACGGCCGCAAGGCUA